GUAUGGAGCAAGCGUUAUCCGGAUNNAUUGAGCGUAAAGCGUGUGUAGGCGGUNNGUUAAGUCUGAGAUGAAAGGCUAUGGCUCAACCAUAGUNUGUUUCAGAAACUGGCAGACUAGAGUGCAGUAGAGGCAAAUGGAAUNCAUAGUGUAGCGGUGGAAUGCGUAGAUAUUAUGAGGAACAUCAGUGGCGAAGGCGAUUUGCUGGGCUGUUACUGACGCUGAGACACGAAAGCGUGGGGAGCAAAUAGGAUUAGAUACCCUAGUAGUCCACGCUGUAAACGAUGAGCACUAAGUGUCGGGCAACCGGUGCUGAAGUUAACACAUUAAGUGCUCCGCCUGAGUAGU
rnacentral:rRNA from 1 species